AGGACGAACGCUGGCGGCACGCUUAACACAUGCAAGUCGAACGGAGAAUAUUAGGUUACUUGGUAUCUUAGUGGCGGACGGGUGAGUAACACGUGAGCAACCUACCUUAGAGAGAGGGAUAGCUUCUGGAAACGGAUGGUAAUACCUCAUAACGUAACUGAACCGCAUGAUUUAGUUACCAAAGAUUUAUCACUCUGAGAUGGGCUCGCGUCUGAUUAGAUAGUUGGUGAGGUAACGGCUCACCAAGUCGACGAUCAGUAGCCGGACUGAGAGGUUGAACGGCCACAUUGGGACUGAGACACGGCCCAGACUCCUACGGGAGGCAGCAGUGGGGAAUAUUGCACAAUGGGGGAAACCCUGAUGCAGCGAUGCCGCGUGGAGGAAGAAGGUUUUCGGAUUGUAAACUCCUGUCUUAAAGGACGAUAAUGACGGUACUUUAGGAGGAAGCUCCGGCUAACUACGUGCCAGCAGCCGC
rnacentral:rRNA from 1 species